CUGGGAACUGCGUUNUGAACUGGGUGACUAGAGUGUGUCAGAGGGAGNUAGAAUUCCACGUGUAGCAGUGAAAUGCGUAGAGAUGUGGAGGAAUACCGAUGGCGAAGGCAGCCUCCUGGGAUAACACUGACGUUCAUGCCCGAAAGCGUGGGUAGCAAACAGGAUUAGAUACCCUGGUAGUCCACGCCCUAAACGAUGUCGAUUAGCUGUUGGGCAGCAUGACUGCUUAGUAGCGAAGCUAACGCGUGAAAUCGACCGCCUGGGGAGUACGGUCGCAAGAUUAAAACUCAAAGGAAUUGACGGGGACCCGCACAAGCGGUGGAUGAUGUGGAUUAAUUCGAUGCAACGCGAAGAACCUUACCUGGUCUUGACAUGUACGGAACCCUCCAGAGACGGAGGAGUGCCUUCGGGAGCCGUAACACAGGUGCUGCAUGGCUGUCGUCAGCUCGUGUCGUGAGAUGUUGGGUUAAGUCCCGCAACGAGCGCAACCCUUGUCAUUAGUUGCCAUCAUUAAGUUGGGCACUCUAAUGAGACUGCCGGUGACAAGCCGGAGGAAGGUGGGGAUGACGUCAAGUCCUCAUGGCCCUUAUGACCAGGGCUUCACACGUCAUACAAUGGUCGGUACAGAGGGUAGCCAAGCCGCGAGGCGGAGCCAAUCUCACAAAACCGAUCGUAGUCCGGAUUGCACUCUGCAACUCGAGUGCAUGAAGUCGGAAUCGCUAGUAAUCGCAGGUCAGCAUACUGCGGUGUAUACGUUCCCGGGUCUUGUACACACCGCCCGUCACACCAUGGGAGUGGGGGAUACCAGAAGUAGGUAGGGUAACCGCAAGGAGCCCGCUUACCACGGUA
rnacentral:rRNA from 1 species